AGCAUACCGACGACCCGAAGAGGCUUGUUUUCACCCUCUGGGUGGASASGCUCCCAACUUAAUUGGCUCGGAUUUURUCCGUGCGUUUGCGAACUGACNCGGUARACCAACUUCCGUCCUUGAUUCCUACUUAGGAYGGAGGGGACGACGAUAACUGACCCCCGGGCCGAMGUGCCCUCGGGCACAAGGCUUGGGGCGCAACUUGCGUUCAAAGACUCGAUGGUUCACGGGAUUCUGCAAUUCUUACCUGUUAUAUCAUUUCUCUACGUUCUUCAUCGAUGCGAGAGCCGAGAUAUCUSUUGCCGAUGAUCAAUUUAGACUUUAGAUUUUACUGCUGAGAAUUGGCGAAAACCCCGACUCCGGGGAGCCGCGGAUGAGUAGCUGUUUAAUUGCAUGUUCCUUGACACUUUUCGUGCCUGGGUUUUGUUAUCUCC
rnacentral:misc_RNA from 1 species